CAAAAAGUUGUUUUUAAAUUACACAGUUCCAGAGAAAAUUUGGCAACCGCCUGCAUACAUGUGCCAUGAGCUACACAAACACAUGCCAAAGUGGUGAAAUGUGCUGCGCAGUGUAAUGUAAUAUUAUUAUAAAAUUACAGGUUUGUACACCGCCUUAAAUAACUGCUGCUUUAGAAAAAAAAAACAUCUUGAGGCAGCCCUGUAUAGGCGCAUAUCCCUCAUCCCUACAGGCACGCAUUUCCUAACCUCAGUCCCGGAAAGCUGCAGCGUCAUGGCCGCCACUCUGCUUCUCUGCCGCCGGAAUAGCCGGGGACGCGAGAAAAAAAAGACCUCGAAGAAAAACUGACAACCUAUAUGACCAAAAGAGUGGUGCUCCUGGAACAGAGAACGGACAGUCUGCAUGACUCGAGAAAUGAUGCGUCAAGGAAUGUAUGGUGGACACCCAAGACACACUGCCUCGGUUCCAGGCUCUCCCGAGAGCACAGAGGUCGGUUUAACCGUCGGUGGAGGAUCACGACGUACGAGAACCACAUACAAGAUUGAGAAUGGUGGUGAUACUGGAUCUAACUGAACGCCAGUGUGUUUUCAGAACCUUCGCAUGAAGCACAAACGACAGCCUUUUAAACCCAAGGAAUACAGUUUCCGAUACGAAGAGCUCCGUUUAUUAACCCACCCUUGGUAAAAAGUCAGGGCCCGUACUAUGCGUGAUACUCUAUUCCUUUCAACUGGCGCCAUCCUCAGCUUCAGUGUAGUCUCUAAACCACUGUCAGAUCCGAGCUAUGAUACCGCUUAAGGACGAGAAUCUUAGACGCAUCUCCAACCCCUCUCCCACAGUUGGACUACAAAAGGUCAACUAUUUAAAACCGCUAGUCCGGACACUUUCCACUGAAGGUGGAUUGGCUUUUGCGAGAGUUUUC
ensembl:lncRNA